UGUUUCUAUUUUUCUAAUUAAAAGUCACGACUUAGGAUAUAGGACCUGAAUCACUGAAGAAAUGGUGUAGAAAAGUUGGGUUUAUCUUCUUUCUUACCGUAGGAUUGAUGGGGUCAGAAUAGUAGGCACCCAAGAAGGAUUUAUAAUCUGAUGGCCUAGUAUUGAGACAAAGUAGAAGCAAGAUUUUAAUUGCUGUGAGGCAGAGAUUGGAAUUCAAAAAGGGCAGAACUGAAAAGAGGUAGGCAUGUGACAGGAUUUUGACCAAGGUCUCUAAUACCCAAGUUCUUGUACUUUACCCACCAAACAGCCUCUCAGUGAGUUGAUAGGGAAGAAAAGGAAUAAAGUGCUUGGCACUUACUAAUUCCCCAUGGACAUUAAUUCCCUUUCUUUCCUCCCUAGGUUUUAUUGUUCAUAACAGUGGCCUGUUAUUUGGGUUAGAGUGAAGGUCAACAACUUGGGACUUCUUUAGCCUUCCCUUCUUGAAUCUCCCCUUCCCUGUUGAUACCUUGCCUAUCCUACAGGGUGGUCAUGAAGAUUAAAAGUAUUAGUACAUCUUAAGUGCCUAGAAUGGAGCUUGGCUCAUCAUAACUGCACAAAUCUAGGGAUGCCCUCUUGGGCAGUGGUUACGGCAAGAAAACAGUCAUAGUACCAGGCUUCCAAGACUGAUCUGAUCCUCCCUAUGGCAUGUGCAACUUUAUACAUGGCAUCAAGAGUGGCCAUACAGCUUCCUAUCACCCACCCCAGUAAGUAAUAUGAGACACAGCACAAGAUAGGCAAGUACAUGGUCUUUUACCUGAGUGGCCCAGACCUGGGAAACAACAGGUUAGCAAUACCUAGCAAUGCUUUGCUAUUACAGUAAGAUAUUAAUAGAGAAAAAGGACAGCUUCUAUUAAUUCUCUUGGCAGAGUCCAUUCUAGUUAUGAUGUUUUCUUGUCCUUUGUUCAUUUAUUAUGGAAUUUGGCUUUUUUUUUUUUUUUUUCAUCAUAGAAUUACUGAUCUUACAGUGCUCCAGGUUGCUGGGAAUACAAAGACAUGAGUUCCUACCUUCAUGGCAUUCACAUGGUGAUAAGACAAAGGGAUACAUGUACUUCCAACAGUGUGUACUAGACUGGGUAUUCUAAAAUACAUAAACAAAGGUUUGUGGGACCACAGUGGGUGAGAACUGUCCUGGGCAUUGGAGGAUGCAUAGAAAGAAUUUAUUAGGCAAGGUAGGGGGGAGGAGGAGAGAAGAGGACAUUUUAGAAAAGCAAUUUGUAAGCUGUGCUUUUCCUCUUCCUCUCCAAAGCCUAAGGGCAGGCGAGUCCUCCCCAGUGUGCUCUGUGAGAGGGAGCUUUUGACACUUCAACUAAAGGCCAGGCUUGAGCUGUCAGCAUAUGGAUUCAUGUAUCUUCUCAUUCUGAUUCAAGUACAAUUAAGUAACCUAAAAAAUAACAUUAAAACUGGAAAAGCUUGUUACUGGUCAUCUGGAUUCAGAGUAAAAUGUUCACACUAUGAUAUUUAUGACAAAUUGAAUUAGUAAGAAGUCUAAAAUAUAGAAAUAUUUUAUAAAUAUAGUUUUAUUACUUGGAAAUACAUACAAAAAUUCAAACACAGCUAAAAAACAGUGGCCAAGCAGAGGUCCUAUCCAACCUGUUUUAAUGAACACAUAAAACAGUUGUCAUCAGCAUAAAACAAUUUAAGUUCUGAAACAACUUACUGUCUUCAGAGUCUGUAAAUAUUGAGUUUAAAAAUUGACUACUGUUUUCUUAUCACCUAUUUAAAUCUUUUCUCCAAAUAUAGACUAUUUAAACAUUUGUUUGGUUCAGUGAGAUGUUUUAUUUAGAAAAAUAGCUAAAGCCAUUUAACUACAAUUAUUUUGAAAACUGUAAUACUAUUCAUUUCCAGUCUUCUGUCACCUAUACAUUCUGCAUGAUUUCUCAAAAAUCUCCAGUAGUUGCUAAAAGAAAGCACUUGUAACUUCCAGCAGCUCUUUGGGACACUGAAGUUUGGUCUUAAGAGCCCUGACAUUUUUUAGUUAAGGUGGCAAGAUUGUUUUUAUUUCUCAUUUUUGCUUUUUUGUUUAUGUCAUUUUAGUUUGGCCCCGCUAGCCUAUAUCUCAUCAGAGAAAAAAUAGUGAGUUAUUCUGCUUUUCUUGAUUAUUAAUCCAUUAAACUCAUCUAUUCUUUUUGCCCCCAGGUUUUUCUCUUUUUUUUUAAUGGCUUCUUGGCAACUUUAGCACUUUCUGCAAAUUUAAGCUCAUCCUGAGAUUUAAUAUUUCAAAACACUUUUAUAUUUCACUCUUUUUGGCCUCUAUCAU